CUACGGGAGGCAGCAGUGGGGAAUAUUGCACAAUGGGCGCAAGCCUGAUGCAGCCAUGCCGCGUGUAUGAAGAAGGCCUUCGGGUUGUAAAGUACUUUCAGCGAGGAGGAAGGUGUUGUGGUUAAUAACCGCAGCAAUUGACGUUACUCGCAGAAGAAGCACCGGCUAACUCCGUGCCAGCAGCCGCGGUAAUA
rnacentral:rRNA from 1 species